rnacentral:rRNA from 1 species
UACGUAGGGGGCAAGCGUUGUCCGGAUUUAUUGGGCGUAAAGAGCGUGUAGGCGGCCAGAUAGGUCCGUUGUGAAAACUCGAGGCUCAACCUCGAGACGCCGAUGGAAACCAUCUGGCUAGAGUCCGGAAGAGGAGAGUGGAAUUCCUGGUGUAGCGGUGAAAUGCGCAGAUAUCAGGAAGAACACCCGUGGCGAAGGCGGCUCUCUGGGACGGUACUGACGCUGAGACGCGAAAGCGUGGGGGAGCAAACAGGAUUAGAACUACC